GCACCUGUAGCUCAGUGGUUAGGGCGCUGGCCACACACACCAGAGGUGGCGGGUUCAAACCCAGCCUGGGCCU
rnacentral:tRNA from 1 species